rnacentral:ncRNA from 1 species
AUGAUGGCGAUGAAGAGAAUGAGUAAAUAUGAAAUCUAUAUUUAGAGAGGAAGUGGGUGGUGCAAACUUCUUAUAGAACAUAUUGAAGCUAUCUUGGAGCCUAUAUUUUCUAAGUGAUGCAUAUUUUUAUGCAUAAUUAGGGUGGUACCGCGGAAAUAUGUUUUCGUCCCUUUU